AUUGAACGCUGGCGGUAUGCUUUACACAUGCAAGUCGAACGGUAACAGGCCGCAAGGUGCUGACGAGUGGCGAACGGGUGAGUAAUGCAUCGGAACGUGCCCAGUCGUGGGGGAUAACGCAGCGAAAGCUGUGCUAAUACCGCAUACGAUCUAUGGAUGAAAGCGGGGGACCGUAAGGCCUCGCGCGAUUGGAGCGGCCGAUGUCAGAUUAGGUAGUUGGUGGGGUAAAGGCUCACCAAGCCAACGAUCUGUAGCUGGUCUGAGAGGACGACCAGCCACACGGGGACUGAGACACGGCCCAGACUCCUACGGGAGGCAGCAGUGGGGAAUUUUGGACAAUGGGCGCAAGCCUGAUCCAGCAAUGCCGCGUGCAGGAAGAAGGCCUUCGGGUUGUAAACUGCUUUUGUACGGAACGAAAAGGUUUGGGUUAAUACCCUGGGCCGAUGACGGUACCGUAAGAAUAAGCACCGGCUAACUACGUGCCAGCCGCCGCGGUAA
rnacentral:rRNA from 1 species